rnacentral:lncRNA from 1 species
CCUCUUUUUUCUCUUUUUUCUCUCCUCUUUCGCCUAACAAUUCUUUAGGAUCUCAACCAAUCUAUAUUUUUUCUAGAUUGAAAUUGGUGUUUUGAUUCCUUUGCUUUUGACAUGGCUAGUAUGGUUCACUAUUGCUCUUGCCUUCUCGCCUUUUUUUUGCAUGUUCCAUAAAAUUUUUCAUGUUUUCUAUGACGAAAAUUGAAAAUGUAAGAUAUCCUAUUUUUACAUUGGUUAUUUAAAUUAGUUAUUACAUCUGUUGUUUAUAUUUAUUUACCUAUUACCUAUAUCCUAUUUAUUGAGAAAAUUAAAGAAAAUAUGUUUUUUAAGUCUUGAAUGAAUGAACCAUUAUUUUUAUUAAAAUAUACAAAAAAUUCAUCUGUUGGGAGAUCUUUAAAAAGCCUUGUUGGUAGUAUUAUUUUUCUGUUUAUCUUUUGUUUGUUUCUUUGUUGUUAGUGUUGUUGUUUCUAGUGUUGGUGGUGUUGGAACAUAUGUUAUUGGUGUUGUUGAUGGUGUUGGAACAUAUGGUGUUAUUUAUUUGUUAUUGAUACUAUUGUUGAUGUUGGUGUUGGUGUUGGUGGUGUUGGAACAUAUAGUGGAAGAUAUUAAAAAAGGUCUUCCAACAAAUUCCCCAUAGGUUGCAACUGAUGAAUCAGCUGUUGGAAUAAAUCCAAAUAGCUCUUCAGAAAAAUGACCCAUUUGUUGCAAUAGAUGAAGCACCUAUUAGAAGAAAUCAAACCAGUAGUAGGCUGGUUUGAUUUCUUCAAAUAUAUGACCCAUCUAUUACAAUAUAUCGAUCACUUAUUGAAAUAGAUGUGUCACCUAUUGUAACAAAUGUGUUACCAGUUACAACAGAUGGCUUAUCUAUUGAAUAGGUGGGGAAUAUGUUGCAUUAGAUGGGUUAUCUAUUGGAAUACUUGUUGUAAUGUAUUAUAUUUAUUGAAUUUUUUAUUACCUUUUUUUAAAAUUAUGUCGACAACAAUUGUAAUGUUCAUUUUGUUUUUCUCUUAUUUGUAAAUAAAAGAAGUUUCCCGAAAGAAAAGGAAGUGAAAGUGGAUUAACCUUUUCCCAACCAACAUAAAAGGCUAGAGUAAAGAUGGGUUCGGAGGAACAAGCUACUUGCAGAUGGAACUACUUCAUAUGUAGGAGGUAUAUAUUACUGAUCAUGUUAUCGUGUAGACACACAUAGAGUAUACUAAUUUUGUUAAUGUUGUUCUUUAUUGAUUAGGCAUUAAUCAUUCAAACAAGAAAUUACAUUUUAUAGUUAAGAUUGAUAGGUUCAAAUUGAAAAGGAUGAGGGACAAUGUAGAUCGUGGCGAUACCCUAUUACGAUUUAGUGAUGGUUUUGCUAAUAUUUAUGUGUCAUGUUUUGGGUAAGGGCUCAAGUUUUUGGUUGUAGUUUAAAGAUUCAAUAGUGAUUAAACUGAUUUUAAGGGUUCAAUGGAAUUUUGAAAGGCCUUCAAAGUCUUGCACUUCUACUAAUAAGAAUGGAAAUCAAUAUAGUUAUUUCCCUGAUCUAAAUUUAUAUGGACGGGUUUCUUGGGGUGAUGAUUAUAUAGUAGAAGGUUCUUGGGAGAAUAUCUGUGAGAGAAAGAUGAGGUGUUGAAGACUAUAUAUAAGCUCAAACCUUAUUAAAGAAGAAAUACAGGGUAAUAAGGAAUGUGUACGAAUGUAGCUGAUGAAAUUGACAUGAAAAAAUGGUAAAACUGAAUGAGCUGAAAAAAUAAAAGUGUAUCUAAAAAUGAAAUUACAUCACUCAUUGUAGAAAAUAAAAAUGGUAAAGUAGACUGGAGAUGGAAACUUUUCUAGGUAACUAUGACUAGUUAGCAUGGCCUGAAUGAUAAUGACCCACAAAGCACAGGUUUAGAACUCAAAAGAAGAAGUUUUGAGAGCACCGAGGGGUGGUAAUAUGGCCAGUGAGGAACAAAACAUAAACCAACAACUCCUAAAGUAAAAAUAUGGGAUUAAGACAAGGUGAUAAUUUUUGAAGUUAAACAUGCAUCCUAGUCCUUCUGCUUGUGGUUCUGGUCAGGUCAAAGGAGGUAGAAACAAAAAGACAUAGAAUUUCUGUCCAACUUCAGAACUUUUUGUUUCUACUACCACUGACCUGAUUAGCGAACCCUUGUUUUAUUUGUUUCUUUCUUUACUGCUCGAAGAAAAAGUUUUUUGUUAAGUGUAUAGGCAUUUUUUAUAAGAAACAAGGGAUGUUUAUAGCUCUUUUUUAUCUUACAAAGUACGUAUACACUUAACAAAAAACUUCUUCUUUGAAAAGCAAAGAAAGAACCAAAUAAAAAAAGGGUCCAGCCCUCCUCAGUAUCACCUAGUAAGAGGCCAUUGAUUGAAAUAGAAAAUUUAGGAAGAAUUAGGUUUGAAUAAAUUUCCUAGGAUCCUCUUUCUUUCGAACUACAAACAUAGGAAUCAUUGAAAUAGCACUUUAAUUGCAUGGGAUACAAUUUAGACUUCAUAAACUUACUCCUUGUCUUCCCUUUUUCUUACUUUGAAAGUUCUUGUUUUUUUUUCAUUCUUGACUAUAUGUCUUUUCAAUCCACGGUGCUCGCAAAAUUGCUUUCUUGUAGUCCUGAUCCUGCUCUUUAUGGGUCAAUAUUUAGGCCAUGCUAACUAGUUGUAGUUACCUAACAAAGUGUCCAACUCCAGUCCACUUUACCAUUUUUAUUUCAACAAUGACUGACUGAUUUUAAUUUUUAGACACAUUUUCACAAUUGCAGCUCAUUCAUAUUUUUCAUCUUUCAAGUCAAGUUCAUUGGCCAUAUUGGCUAGAAGUUCCUUGCUUGCUCCCUUAUAUUUUCUCUUUAACAAGUUCUAAGAUGAUACAUUCUUCAGCAACUCUCCUUUCUCGCAUAGUUAUUCUUUUACAGUAUAUUCUGUUGUAUAAUCGUCUCCUCGAGCAAACCAUCCAUAAAAAUUCGGACCAAGGGAAUUUCUACUGGUUUUCCAUUCUUGUUUGCUGCUCUAGGAGGCUUCAAAGGUCUUCUCAAAGUCCAUUGCACCAUUAAAAUAAGUCCAAUUACUAUUGAAUCUCUACACUGCCAUCAAAUAUUAAUCCCUUCUUAAAACUUGACACGCAUAAACAUGAGCAAACCAUCAUUAAAUUAUAAUAGGGUAUCAACACCAUUUCAUAGUCCCCCAACCUUUUCAAUUCGCACCUAUCAAACUUAAUUGGAAAAUGUAGGAUCUUAUUUCAAGGAUUAAUGCCUACUCGGUAAAAAAUUACAUUCACAAAAAUAUUGCACUUUAUGUCUGUUGUCACAAUAACCUAAUCAGUAAUACAUAACUCCCAUGCAUGAAAGUUGAUCCAUCCAUCUGCACGCACCUUAUUAUUCCUACCGUAUCAAUGUCAAAUAGUGCUUAAUCUUCAGUUUCCAUCAUGAAGUAGUGCACAAAACGAUGAAGGCCCAAAGGGUAACCAUCAUCAAAGUGAAGGACUACAUGCUUGUCAAGAAUAAACAAGUGCUAUGAAUGUAAAUCGUUAUGAUCAUUGUAAUAGUAAACUUUUGUUGUUGUUUGUUAUGGACUUUGAUAACUUUUAAUCAUUGUUGGGGAUGUAAAUGUCAUUAUUUAGUAUAUAAAAUAUGUUUUUAUUAA